GUGUUCCUGCACUGUAAGUUUUAUCCAUCAGUAUGCCAACAUCAAGUUUGUCUCCUUCUCAAGAAUGUCUUCAUUCCUUAAGAGUCCAUUUACCCUGGCAGAGGGGAAUAAUCAGUCAGCUUCCACUAAGCACUUAAAAGACAUUUUCCAACCCAGAAGAUCCCUGCACACACCAUGGCAGCCUCAUGUGAGAGGGACAAUAGCUCCUGGGAGCGGUGGUUGUGGAGGGGACCCAGAGGGACAGUCUUGCAGCUGUGGUACCUACUCGGUGACGGUGGGCUGGAACCAGACCCAGAGCUCAGCACCAGCAGGUGCUUGAAGAGGAGGCUGCCCCCAGGUGCGGGUGCGCCAGAAACCCUGAGUGAGGGCGAGGUGGAGCUCCCGUACCCCCAGUGCUGCCACCAGCCGUCCCAGCGCCUUCGGGAA